AAUGGGGACGUCUGCAAGGACUGCACCCAAAUAUUUGAGCUCCUUGCUGACCUGCUUUCUAAUACGGACCUCCAGAAAAAGAUCAUGGACAGCAUCGAAAGCAUGUGUGACCACCUGCCUGGGUCAGCCGCCAAACUCUGCAAAGAAGAGGUGGAGAAGAUGCUCCCAGUGGCCAUCAACUUCAUGACUGCUAUUGUCAAACCAGCAGAGGUCUGCAAAAUCAUUGGGCUCUGUGGCUCCUGUGACAAGCAGGAAAAGAUGCUGCGGUAUUUU